rnacentral:rRNA from 1 species
UGGGGAAUAUUGGACGAUGGGCGCAAGCCUGAUCCAGCAAUGCCGCGUGUGUGAAGAAGGCCUGCGGGUUGUAAAGCACUUUCAGUAGAGAAGAAAAGCUCGAGGUUAAUACCCCCGGGUCUUGACGUAACCUACAGAAGGAGCACCGGCUAACUCCGUGCCAGCAGCCGCGGUAAUACGGAGGAGGCAAGCGUUAUCCGGAAUCAUUGGGCGUAAAGCGUUCGCAGGCGGCGAUUCAAGUCUGCUGUCAAAGCCCGCAGCUCAACUGCGGACAGGCAGUGGAAACUGAAUGGCUAGAGUGCGGCAGGGGUAGAGGGAAUUCCCGGUGUAGCGGUGAAAUGCGUAGAUAUCGGGAAGAACACCAGUGGCGAAAGCGCUCUACUGGGCCGCAACUGACGCUCAGGGACGAAAGCUAGGGGAGCGAAAGGGAUUAGAUACCCCCGUAGUCC